GGCUCUGUUGCCCAACUGCAACCUCUGCCCUUGAUCAGGCUCAAACGACCCUCCCACCUCAGCUUUCCGAGUAGCUGGGACCACAUGCAUGUACCACCACGCCCACCUAAUUUUUAAAAAAACUUUAUAGAGACAUGUUGCCCAGACUGGUCUCGAACUCCUGACCUCAAGUGAUCUGCCUGCCUUGGCCUCCCAAAAUGUUGGGAUUACAGGUGUGAGCCACUGAGCCACCGUGCCCGGCCACUAACAUGCAUUUACCUCAGUCAUUCCUAACAAACACUUGGAAAAGCAAAGUAGUAUCCUGUGAUACUCCAGAACCACUAUGUUACUAUGUAGCAGGAUUUCAUUCAGUAUGCUGAGCAUUUGUUGAAUGUCUUUUUAACCAUAUUUAAAACAAGAACCAAUGCCUCAGGCCCUGCCCCCAGAAAUUCUAAUUUAAUUACUUUUAUUUUAUUUUAUUUUAUUUUUGAGACAGAGUCUCACUCUGUCAUUCGGGCUGGAGUACAGUGGUGCAGUCUUGGUUCACUGCAACCUCUGCCUCCCAGGUUUAAGUGAUUCUGCCUCAGCCUCCCAAGUAGCUGGGACUACAGGCACAUGCCACCACACCUGGAUAAUUUUUGUAUUUUUAGUAGAGGUGGGGUUUCACCAUGUUGGCCAGGCUGGUCUCGAACUCCUGACUUCAAGUGAUCCCCCUGCCUUUGCCUCCCAAAGUGCUGGGAUUGAAGGCAUGAACCACCGCGCCUGGCCUCUUAUUUAUUUAUUUAUUUAUUUAGAGCCAGAGUCUCGCUCUGUUGCCAGGCUGGAGUGCAGUGGCGCGAUCUUGGCUCACUGCAACCUCUGCCUCCCGGGUUCGAGCGAUUCUCCUGCCUCAGCCUCCCGAGUAGCUGCGACUACAGGCAUGUGGCCCCACGCCCAGCUAAUUUUUGUAUUUUUAGUAGAGACGGGCUUCACCAUGUUGGCCAGGAUGGUCUCGAUCUCUUGACCUCAUGAUCCGCCUGCCUCGGCCUCCCAAAGUGCUGGGAUUAUAGGCGUGAGCCACGCUCCCAGCCCUGCAUUUCUUUUAUGUGUAAAGUGAUACUGAUAUUGAUACUUUGAGAACCACCACAGUAAACAAAGUGAUCAGAGCAGAUAAUGAAAACUCACAGCCUUGUAUCUUUGUGGGCAAGGGAUCAAGUCUUGGUCUUUUUGAUGCAUUCGCUCAUAAGUUCAACUUGGUCUUUUUGAUGCAUUCACUCAUAAGUUCAUCGCAGCACUAUACACAAUAGCAAAGACAUGGAAUCAAGUCAGGUGCCCUUCAGCGGUGGACUGGAUAAAGAAAAUGUGGUACAUAUACACCCUGGAAUACUAUGCAGCCAUAAAGAAAACCCAAAAGUAUGCCCUUUGCAGCAACAUGGAUAAAGCUGGAGGCCAUUAUCCUAAGCGAAUUAAUACAGGAACAAAAGUAAAUAUAUGUUCUCACUUAAAAGUGGGAGCUAAGCAUUGGGUACGCAUGGACACAAAGAUGGGAACAAUAGACACUGGGGGCUGCAAAAGAGUGAGAGGCAAGGAAAAACUACCUAUUGGGAAUUAUGCUCACUACCUGGGUGACAAGAUCAAUUGUACCCCAUACCUCAGCAUCAUGCAAUAUAACCAUUAAGAGACCUGCACAUGUAUUCCCUGAAUUUAAAAUAAAAGUUGAAAAAAAAAAAGUCUUGGUCUUUUUAUCCACAGUGUCUAGCACAGA
rnacentral:lncRNA from 1 species